rnacentral:rRNA from 1 species
AGUGAACGCUGGCGGUAGGCCUAACACAUGCAAGUCGAACGGCAGCACAGUAAGAGCUUGCUCUUACGGGUGGCGAGUGGCGGACGGGUGAGGAAUACAUCGGAAUCUACUUUUUCGUGGGGGAUAACGUAGGGAAACUUACGCUAAUACCGCAUACGACCUACGGGUGAAAGCAGGGGAUCUUCGGACCUUGCGCGAUUGAAUGAGCCGAUGUCGGAUUAGCUAGUUGGCGGGGUAAAGGCCCACCAAGGCGACGAUCCGUAGCUGGUCUGAGAGGAUGAUCAGCCACACUGGAACUGAGACACGGUCCAGACUCCUACGGGAGGCAGCAGUGGGGAAUAUUGCGCAAUGGGCGCAAGCCUGAUCCAGCCAUACCGCGUGGGUGAAGAAGGCCUUCGGGUUGUAAAGCCCUUUUGUUGGGAAAGAAAAGCAGCAUAUUAAUACCCCGCUGUUCUGACGGUACCCAAAGAAUAAGCACCGGCUAACUUCGUG